rnacentral:rRNA from 1 species
UAGGGAAUCUUCGGCAAUGGACGGAAGUCUGACCGAGCAACGCCGCGUGAGUGAAGAAGGUUUUCGGAUCGUAAAGCUCUGUUGUUAAGGAAGAACGAGUGUGAGAAUGGAAAGUUCAUACUGUGACGGUACUUAACCAGAAAGGGACGGCUAACUACGUGCCAGCAGCCGCGGUAAUACGUAGGUCCCGAGCGUUGUCCGGAUUUAUUGGGCGUAAAGCGAGCGCAGGCGGUUAGAAAAGUCUGAAGUGAAAGGCAGUGGCUCAACCAUUGUAGGCUUUGGAAACUGUUUAACUUAAGUGCAGAAGGGGAGAGUGGAAUUCCAUGUGUAGCGGUGAAAUGCGUAGAUAUAUGGAGGAACACCGGUGGCGAAAGCGGCUCUCUGGUCUGUAACUGACGCUGAGGCUCGAAAGCGUGGGGAGCGAACAGGAUUAGAUACCCUGGUAGUCCACGCCGUAAACGAUGAGUGCUAGGUGUUAGGUCCUUUCCGGGACUUAGUGCCGCAGCUAACGCAUUAAGCACUCCGCCUGGGGAGUACGACCGCAAGGUUG